UACGGGGGGUGCGAGCGUUGUCCGGAAUCACUGGGCGUAAAGGGCGCGUAGGUGGUCUUAUAAGGGUGUGGUGAAAGCCCGGGGCUCAACCCCGGGUCGGCCGUGCCGACUGUAAGACUAGAGUGCUGUAGGGGCAGGCGGAAUUCCGGGUGUAGCGGUGGAAUGCGUAGAUAUCUGGAGGAACACCGGUGGCGAAGGCGGCAUCCUGGACCGGCAUUGACGCUGAGGCGCGAAAGCUAGGGGAGCAAACGGG
rnacentral:rRNA from 1 species